rnacentral:rRNA from 1 species
AUGUCAACACAUCAAUUCAUCUUGAAGUUUAUUCGGGAUCUCAAUGACUGCAAGGUAGCUGAGGUGAAACACACUCCGAUUACUAGUUCCGGAGGGAGGCAGCCUAGGUGGAUAAGGCCACCGGAAAAUUUUGCUAAAAUCAGGGUCGACGGGGAUGUCAACAGAGCAAAUGAAGAGGGCUCUUUCAGUGCAGUUUGCAGGGACGAAGAUGGCAAUUACUUGGGCUCAUCAGCGAUCAGAUGCGCCGGCCUCACCGAUCCGGCAACACUUGAGGCGCUAGCUUGCCGGGAGGCUCUUGCACUCGCCCAAGAUCUUUCAUUAUCCCAUGUUAUUGUUGCAUCGGAUUGUAAGGGUGUGGUGCAGGAUAUAAAACUUGGCAUUGGUGGGAUGUAUGCACCUAUCGUGAAGGAGAUCAGAGAGACAAUGGAGAUUUUCCAACGGUGCACCGUCAUCUUUAAAGGACGGGCUACAAAUCUAGAGGCACAUAGCCUUGCUAAGCAUGCUUUUGGUCUGGACCCGGAGCACCAUGUGUGGCUCAUAAACCCCCCAGAUCUAAAUUAUAUCCCCAUGAACAUUAUCCAAUAA